UCCGAAUACCGUGUGCACAAUUUCAGUAUUAAAUCCUCACUAGACACUUAAACUCUAAAUAUGGCCCAAGAUAAAUAAAAACUCUUAGCCUUAACUGGGCCCUGAAUACCUUCGACAUACCAAGAGAAAAAUCUCAGAGUGACAAAUUUUGCCAGCCAUCAUAAUGACAUAAAAUUCAGUAAUAUGACAUUCAGACUACUGGGGAAGGUUUUACUAGGACAUGUAUAGCAUGGACUGGUGCUUCCUGAGUGCAACUAGCAGGGGACACACACACAAAAAAAAUAAAUAAAUAAAAAACACACACAAAGUGAAAUCAGAUAUGUUUUCCCAAAUGAAUCCAGAGGUGUGCAUAUUCCACAUAAUGUACAUAUUAAAAUGGCAAACAUUACAAACACUUACACUCCUUCCACUAUAGAUCAACAAUUUUUGUGAAGCUGAGAAAGUAAAUGAAUCCAUCAACAGUACAUAAAAUCUGUUAGUUGUGUCAUGUCAUUUUUUAAUAUAAAUCAGCUCCAUGGAAUUAUAUAAAAAUGAAUUUUAGACUGAAGCCUGAUGGUUGACAACUAAACCCCAAAACAGAAUUACAUUUGUACCACCAAGGGAGGCCCCAUUCAGCACAGACACGGUUCAGUGGAGGAAAGCCAACUCCGGCCCGAGUAUGUGUGUAAGUAGUGUCCAGCUCAAUUUGCGAGCUCAGUGGAUUAGUGUUAUGGUGAGGAAGAACAACUCAACCAUGCAAGCGGCAUAGAAACUACUCAUUAACAGAUUAAGAAAAAAAUGCUAUAUUGAGCAACAGAGCAGUUCAUAGCUAACCCACAGGCAGAUCAGUAGAGAUUAUAAUAAUAAUAAUAAUCUUUAUUUUAUAAAGCACCUUCAAACGCUGUUUAUGAUGACAAGGCUAAGGUAAAUGAUAAGAAGCUAGUAGUGGGACCCCACUUGGCCACUGAGUUCCAGUGGCUCCAAAAGUAUAACUAUAAACUCACCACAGCCAUGAAGAAAUGACAGGAGUCAAUAACCAGCUUUAGAGGAAAGGUUACCUGUAGAUCUGACCAUAGGUUACAUAGAUCCAAGAUGCACAAGACGUCCAACAUGGUAUGAGUUGAGUAGAGUAAAAGGAGCAGCGAAACGUGAGAAGGUAUUUAUAGCAAAUUUUAUAUAGUCAUGUUAAUUUCAUGACUUUGAAACUGACACUAAACAACCCUAAUCAACAUCCAGCUCCAAACAUUUUAGUUUCUAAACUGCAGCUGUUUGUAGUUCUUAUAGGAAACAGCGCUAGAAGUAGUGUGUCUGUGACCUUCAUAGUCUUUUUACAAUUUGGUGAUAAAAUGAGCUGCUUAUUUGUCUUCCUUCAGGCAAAACAGCUUAUGCAAAACACUCUGUCCCUUUGUCCUACUUUUCAUAAAUUUCUGACUAAACCAAAUCAGAGUGACUGACACAGAAAGAUCUGAGUCUAAAAGUUUGCACACCCACAGGGUAUGACAUUUUGUGUGUUUGGUUAUAUAGAUAUUCCUUCAUUACACUGACAUCUCUGUCAAAAUUCAGCCAAAUCAUUAAAAAGUGAACUAUAUAACAUAGCUACAUACCCACUCGCAGCACAAGGGGAUGCGGACAUACACAUGGUCUGUUUGUAAUUUUCCACAUAAACCUUCAACGGUGCUUGAAAGUUUGUGAAUUUUCAACAUAUCUGCAUAAAUAUGAUCUAAAACAUCAUCAGAUUUGAAAAAGUAGAUAAAGAAAACCCAAUGAAACAAAGGAGAGAAAAAUAUAAUUGAUCAUCUAUUUACGGAGGAAAAUGAGCCAAUAUUACAUAUCUGUGAGCGGCAAAAGUAUAUGAACGUCUAGGGUUAAUUUGAAGGUGAAAUUAGAGUCAGGUGUUUUCAAUCAAUGGGUUGAACAGGUGUGAGUGGGUGAGCAUCCUGUUUUAUUUAAAGAACAGGGAUCUGUCAGAGUCUGAUCUUCAUAACACGUGUUUGUGGAAGUGUAUCAUGGCAUGAACAAAGGAGAUUUCUCAGGACCUCAGAAGAAGAGUUGUUGAUGCUUAUCGGGCUGGAAAAGGUCACAAAACCAUCUCUAAAGAGUUUGGACUCCACUAAACCACAGUCAGACAGAUUGUGUACAAAUGGAAGAAAUUUAACACCAUUGUUCCCCUCCCCAUGAGUGGAGGCCAACAAAGAUCACUCCAAGAGCAAGAUGUGUAAUAGUGAAGGAGGUCACAGAGGGUAACCUCUAAGCAACUAAAGGCCUCUCUCACAUUGGCUAAUGUUAAAUGUUCAUGAGUCCACCAUCAGGAGAACACUGAACAACAACGGUGUGCAUGGCAGGGUUGCAAGAGGAACACUGCUGCCUAUCUGCAGUUCAAAGAUCAUGUGGAGAAAAUUAUUGGAAAAAUGUUUUAUGAAUGGGUGAAACCAAAAAAAGUAAUCUUUUUAGGUUAAAUGAGAAGCAUAAUGUUUGGAGAAAACAAAAACACUGCAUUCCAGCAUAAGAACCUGAUCCCAUCUGUGAAACAUGGUGGUGGUAGCAUCAUGGUUUGGGACUGUUUUGCUGCAUCUGGAUCAGGAUGACUUGCCAUCACUGAUGGAGUGUCAGGACAUCUGUCCAUGAACUGAAUCUGAAGAGAAAGUGGGUCAUGCAGCAAGACAACGAUCCUAAACAAACAAGUCAUUCUACCAAAGAAUGAUUAAAGAAGAAUAAAGUUAAUGUUUUGGAAUGGCCAAGUCCAAGUCCUGACCUUAAUCCAAAAGAAAUGUUGUGGAAGGACCUGAAGCAAGCAGUUCACGUGACACCUCCAAGCCGAUGUGCAGCACUGAUCAACAAUUACCCCAAACAUUUAUCUGCAGUAAUUUCUGCACAAGGGGCUCACACCACAUACUGAAAGCAAUGGUGCACAUACUUUUGCAACUCACAGAUAUGUAAUAUUGGAUAAUUUUCCCUCAAUAAAUAAAUGACAGAGUAUAAUAUUUUAUCUCAUUUGUUUAACUGGGUAUCUACUUUUAGGACUUGUGGGUAAAUCUGAUUACAUUUAGGUCACAUGUAUAAAGAAAUGUAGAAAAUUCUAAAGGGUUCACAAACUUUCAAGCUCCACUGUAUGUUGCAUCAUCUGCCAACAACACAAGUUUCACAAAAAUAAAAUUAGAUAAAUAAGAAGUUCAAAUGGCCUCCAAAUAUGAGAAUAAACUCACCACAGCCAUGAAUAGAUGAUGGCAAUCUAUCACCAGCUUUAGAGGACAGGUUACCUGUAGAUCUGACCAUAGGUCACAUAGAUCCAAGAUGCACAAGAGAUCCGACAUGGUGCAAGUUGAGAAGACUAAAAGGAGCAGAGAAACGUGAAGAGAAGGUAUUUAUAGCAAAUACUGCGUCACGGUCACCG
ensembl:lncRNA